CGGUGGCGUGUCCGAGCGGCCGAAGGGUCCCGCCUCGAAAGCGGGUGAGGUGAAAGCCUCCGUGGGUUCAAAUCCCACCGCCACCG
rnacentral:tRNA from 1 species